rnacentral:rRNA from 1 species
GAUAGCGAACAAGUACCGUGAGGGAAAGAUGAAAAGSACUUUGAAAAGAGAGUUAAAAAGUACGUGAAACCGUUGAAAGGGAAGCGAAUGGAGUUAGCAAUUCGCCCUGCCAGAUUCAGCCGUUCGUGCUUCGCGACGUGCGCGUGCUCGAUUCACACUUGGGCGAGCCGUAUACGGAUGCGACGUGCUGGCGGCGCACUUCUGGCUAAGCGAGCGUCAGCGUCGGUUGUCGACGGGCGACAAAGGACGAGAGGAAGGUGAGCCGGUCUUCACGGCCGGUUGUUAAGCCUCUUGCUCGCAUAGCUCGACGGCGACCGUGGCUCUGCGACGCGUGCCUAGCUGGUGACUCUUGUGAUCGGCUCGGCUGUCGACCGUGGCGGACGGCAUGCCUGUGCGUUCCAAACUGCUGCCGGUCGAUCGCAUGAUGUUCACACAAUACGCGUCGAAGAUGCUGACGGCCAUACGGCUCCAUCCGACCCGUCUUGAAACACGGACCAAGGAGUCUAACAUGUGCGCGAGUCUCCGGGUGAUCGAAACCCGUGGGCAUAAUGAAAGUAAAGAUCGUCCUUGACGAUUGAGGUGAGAAGCGGACACUUCGGUGUUCGCUGCAUCAUCGACCGACCUAUUCUGCUCUCAGAAAGGUUUGAGUAAGAGCGUAUCUG